UGGCUCAGGACGAACGCUGGCGGCGCGCCUAACACAUGCAAGUCGAACGAGAGAGAGGGAGCUUGCUUCCUCGAUCGAGUGGCGAACGGGUGAGUAACGCGUGAGGAACCUGCCUCAAAGAGGGGGACAACAGUUGGAAACGACUGCUAAUACCGCAUAAGCCCACGACCCGGCAUCGGGAAGAGGGAAAAGGAGCAAUCCGCUUUGAGAUGGCCUCGCGUCCGAUUAGCUAGUUGGUGAGGUAACGGCCCACCAAGGCGACGAUCGGUAGCCGGACUGAGAGGUUGAACGGCCACAUUGGGACUGAGACACGGCCCAAACUCCUACGGGAGGCAGCAGUGGGGAAUAUUGCACAAUGGGGGAAACCCUGAUGCAGCGACGCCGCGUGAGCGAAGAAGUAUUUCGGUAUGUAAAGCUCUGUCAGCAGGGAAGAUAAUGACGGUACCUGACCAAGAAGCCCCGGCUAACUACGUG
rnacentral:rRNA from 1 species